rnacentral:tRNA from 1 species
GGGGAAGUGGCGGAAUGGCAGACGCGCUAGCUUCAGGUGCUAGUAUUCGCAAGGAUGUGAGGGUUCAAAUCCCUUCUUCCCCAC